AGGUGAGGUCAGCAUCUCUACUCUCUCCCUGCUCUACUGUUCUACCCUUCCUAACCAAUGACAUGGACCUUGGCUAAGGCUGAUGAAAGCAUGGGAAGGUUCUUUGCAGUUCAGGGACUCUUCUGUCAAUUCCUGGACCUAGGCACAGGAGCUUAAGAUGGUUCAAGUUGCUUCACUCUCUGCUAUCUCUGUUCCAACCUCAGGUAUUAUUCAACUUUUAUAGGAAGAAAAAUGUGAAAACAACUAGGUUUAUUACAUCACCCCCACUUUCUUGUUUAAUGAAGAGAAAAUUGUGAAAGUUAAGAAAAUGAUAGCUAUUGUAUAAUUUUGAAGUGAAAAAAAAAGAUUUUCUAAAUAUGAUAUC